CGCAAUGGGCGCAAGCCUGACGAAGCAACGCCGCGUGGAGGAUGAAGGUCUUCGGAUUGUAAACUCCUGUCGACCGGGACGAAUGCACUCGACCUAAUACGUCGGAAUGUUGACGGUACCGGUGGAGGAAGCCACGGCUAACUCUGUGCCAGCAGCCGCGGUAAUACAGAGGUGGCAAGCGUUGUUCGGAAUUACUGGGCGUAAAGGGUGUGUAGGUGGUCGUAUUAGUCUUGUGUUAAAUUCUUUGGCUUAACCAAAGACCUGCAUAGGAAACGGUACGACUUGAAGAUGCGAGGGGUGAAUGGAACUCAUAGUGGAGGGGUGAAAUCCGUUGAUAUUAUGGGGAACACCAAAAGCGAAGGCAAUUCACUGGCGCAUUCCUGACUCUAAACACGAAAGCGU
rnacentral:rRNA from 1 species